rnacentral:rRNA from 1 species
AUUGAACGCUGGCGGCAGGCUUAACACAUGCAAGUCGAACGAGUGGCGGACGGGUGAGUAAUGCUUGGGAAUCUAGCUUAUGGAGGGGGAUAACUACGGGAAACUGUAGCUAAUACCGCGUACCCUAGGAUGAGCCCAAGUGGUAUUAGGUAGUUGUGAAGUUAAAGGCUCACCAAGCCGACGAUCUCUAGCUGGUCUGAGAGGAUGACCAGCCACACUGGGACUGAGACACGGCCCAUACUCCUAAGGGAUGCAGCAGUGGGGAAUAUGUCGCAAUGGGGGCAACCUGACGCAGCCAAGCCGCGGGAAUGAAGAAGGCCUUCGGGUUGUAAAGUUCUUUCGGUAGCGAGGCGUUAACUACAGAAGAAGCACCGGCUAACUCCGUGCCAGCAGCCGCGGUAAUAC